GACGAACGCUGGCGGCGUGCCUAAUACAUGCAAGUCGAGCGGACAGACGGGAGCUUGCUCCCUGAUGUUAGCGGCGGACGGGUGAGUAACACGUGGGUAACCUGCCUGUAAGACUGGGAUAACUCCGGGAAACCGGGGCUAAUACCGGAUGGUUGUCUGAACCGCAUGGUUCAGACAUAAAAGGUGGCUUCGGCUACCACUUACAGAUGGACCCGCGGCGCAUUAGCUAGUUGGUGAGGUAACGGCUCACCAAGGCAACGAUGCGUAGCCGACCUGAGAGGGUGAUCGGCCACACUGGGACUGAGACACGGCCCAGACUCCUACGGGAGGCAGCAGUAGGGAAUCUUCCGCAAUGGACGAAAGUCUGACGGAGCAACGCCGCGUGAGUGAUGAAGGUUUUCGGAUCGUAAAGCUCUGUUGUUAGGGAAGAACAAGUGCUGUUCAAAUAGGGCGGCACCUUGACGGUACCUAACCAGAAAGCCACGGCUAACUACGUG
rnacentral:rRNA from 1 species